AUGAAAAAAGGGUACAAAAAUAGUGAAAUGUCCCUUUUAGACGAGCCCAUUAUUAGCCCUACAACUUGUGUACCUUGGGUGAAUCAGGAUUCACGAGGCUUGACCAUUAGAGUUUUUAUCUAUAAAGCAAAGAGCUCUAUAUCCCACAUGCAUUGUGCAUUCACACCACUGCAUCCUGGAUCUACUUAUUCUUCUUUUCUCCUACGAUCCUAUUUAGAGCAUUUACCUUUUAGGUUUAAUACAAGGCAUUUGUGUGGUCCAGGAUUGUAUCACAGGAGAACUAUAAAUAGUAGUCUGUCAAGACAAUCUCAUAGUUUUUGUUUUGUAAGAUUUUGUGAGCCAUUUUGCUAUUUAGAGCCAUCACAGCUCUGUCAAUUAAUUUUGUUCUGCUCAAAUGUGAAACUGCACAUAUUUAAAAAUGUAUCCAACAUGAGACACUGGAUAUUAAGACCAUCAUGUGUUGUUACUUAUUCUUUAUGA
rnacentral:rRNA from 1 species